AGGAUGAACGCUGGCGGUCUGCUUAACACAUGCAAGUCGAACGGAGUACCUCGGUACUUAGUGGCGGACGGGUGAGUAACGCGUGAGAAUCUGCCCUUAGGUCGGGGACAACCAUUGGAAACGAUGGCUAAAUACCGGAUAAGCCGAGAGGUAAAAGAUUAAUUGCCUAGGGAAGAGCUCGCGUCUGAUUAGCUAGUUGGUGAGGUAAAGGCUCACCAAGGCAUCGAUCAGUAGCUGGUCUGAGAGGAUGAUCAGCCACACUGGGACUGAGACACGGCCCAGACUCCUACGGGAGGCAGCAGUGGGGAAUUUUCCGCAAUGGGCGAAAGCCUGACGGAGCAAGACCGCGUGAGGGAGGAAGGCUCUUGGGUUGUAAACCUCUUUCUUGGGAAGAACGAAAAUGACGGUAUCCAAGGAAUCAGCAUCGGCUAACUCCGUGCCAGCAGCCGC
rnacentral:rRNA from 1 species